GAUGAACGCUGGCGGCGUGCUUAAUACAUGCAAGUCGAGCGAAGCACUUUAACGGAAUUCUUCGGAAGGAAGGUAAAGUGACUGAGCGGCGGACGGGUGAGUAACGCGUGGGUAACCUGCCUUAUACAGGGGGAUAACAGUUAGAAAUGGCUGCUAAUACCGCAUAAGACCACAGCACCGCAUGGUGCAGGGGUAAAAACUCCGGUGGUAUGAGAUGGACCCGCGUCUGAUUAGCUAGUUGGUGGGGUAACGGCCUACCAAGGCGACGAUCAGUAGCCGACCUGAGAGGGUGACCGGCCACAUUGGGACUGAGACACGGCCCAA
rnacentral:rRNA from 1 species